UACGAAGGGGGCUAGCGUUGCUCGGAAUCACUGGGCGUAAAGCGCACGUAGGCGGAUUGUUAAGUCAGGGGUGAAAUCCUGGAGCUCAACUCCAGAACUGCCUUUGAUACUGGCGAUCUCGAGUCCGGGAGAGGUGAGUGGAACUGCGAGUGUAGAGGUGAAAUUCGUAGAUAUUCGCAAGAACACCAGGUGCGAAGGCGGCCGACUGGACACAUAUUGACGCUGAGGCUCGAAAGCAUGGGGAGCAAACAGG
rnacentral:rRNA from 1 species